AUAUGAAAUUAAAAGAAUAACAGUUAGAAAUAUUUAUGUUAAUACAUGAUUCUCAUGGCAACAGGGAAUGAGACCGGCUGCAUAAGUGUACUGACUCAUUUAUGUUUGUUAACAGAGAAUUAUAACGACAUCUGCUGUAGAGUCCCAACCCCCUGGGACCUGCAAACAACAAUGUCACAAAGAAGGAUUUCAAUGUUUUUUGCUCCAAAAGUGGUUGGCAGCCAAGGAGGUAUGAUAGCAGAUAAGGAUGCAGUCAGGGUUCAUGCAGGAGACCAAAGGGAGGAGAGUGCAAGUUCAGCUGUCAAGAAGGUUGGAGAAACCUCGAGCUGUCAAGAUGCAGAAGAAACAUAAUUGUACCUCAUGCUUACUAAAUCAAUGAUUUCUUUUCUAUGUGGUCACAGAUGAUCUAUCUUAUCCUUACAUCACCCUUAAAUCCAUGUUUCAAAUAAAUAACACAAUAUAGAGUUAGCUUUCCAAAACAAACAUUAAUGUCAACA
ensembl:lncRNA